rnacentral:rRNA from 1 species
UGGGGAAUCUUCCGCAAUGGGCGAAAGCCUGACGGAGCAACGCCGCGUGAGUGAAGACGGCCUUCGGGUUGUAAAACUCUGUGAUUCGGGACGAAAGAUAAGCAGACGAAUAAUCUGCAUAAGUGACGGUACCGAAAAAGCAAGCCACGGCUAAUUACGUGCCAGCAGCCGCGGUAAUACGUAAGGGGCGAGCGUUGUCCGGAAUUAUUGGGCGUAAAGAGUGCGUAGGCGGCAAAUUAAGUCAGAUGUGAAAACUAAGGGCUCAACCCAUAGAUUGCAUCUGAAACUGAUAUGCUUGAGUCAAGGAGAGGAAAGUGGAAUUCCUAGUGUAGCGGUGGAAUGCGUAGAUAUUAGGAGGAAUACCGGUGGCGAAGGCGACUUUCUGGACUUGAACUGACGCUGAGGCACGAAAGCGUGGGGAGCAAACAGG